rnacentral:lncRNA from 1 species
CAAACUAUAACACGGAAACUGCAGGAAUUUAUACAAAAGCUACUUAUUUUUCUUCAACAACAUAACAACAAUGGCAGCCAUGUCAAUCACUAAAAACGCCAUUUUUAACCUCUCUAAGGCUCUUCCUCGAACCCCUUCUCUCUUCCUUUGCCGCAACGUCUCCUUCUACAACCUCUCCAAGACUCUUCCUCGAAACCGUUCUCUUUUCAUUCGCCACAAAGUAUCUCGAGUCUGCUUUUCCUCUUCCCCGAAUUACUCCGAGGUAUUAUAUUUGACUAUUGCUUUCUCUUUUCAGAUGUCAUUUAUGUACAGUAAUGGAGAGUGUAAAGUGUAAAGUGUAAAGUGCAAAGGAGUAAAUCCAAACAAACAAAUGCACAUCUUAUAUUUAAUAUAAAACGUAAAAUAAAACUAGAUAGAUUCACUUCAUGUAUUACACGGAAUUAUAUUGUUUACAUCGUCAAUUUGUUUAAUACGUUACAGAAGGUUGUCUCUUAUAUUUUCGGACUAUUGAUUUUACUUGCUAUGCGUUAUUAUUUGUAGAAGUAGAAGUUACUUUUUUAGACGAUGUGGAAGAAAACUUUCAACUUUUUAGUCUAUAGUAGAAGUUAUGAUACUUGCCUUUCUUAGUAUUUUUGCCAACGUGUUCCAAAGAUAAUACUAGCAUUAAAUUAUGUUAGGACUCAACUAUUUUCAAUUUUAUGUUGAAG